CACUACACAGAUUGCCUUCAUAGAAGGGAGGCAGUCAGCAAACACUCUUGGCCUGCAGCUCCCUCAGGGUCUGCUUCAGAAGAAGGGAGCCACCAUGACUUGGCCAUGCCCUUCAUGGCACAGACAAAAUUCAGUAACUAAAAGAGAAAGGACUAUAAAGGCCUGGCCAUGUUGGUCUGGUGCAGAACACACUGAUAGAGCUCUCUCCCAGGUUGGAUGAGGUUUUGUCAGGCCUCUAUUUCAGCUGACUUCUUCUCCUGCCUAAUCCUGUUACAUCUGCCGCGCUUCACAGCUAUGAAUGCUUAAUAAAUAUCCUGCACACCAAUCUCUGUCUCAGCAUCUGCUUGCAAAGAAAGCAGCCUGAGGAAAGGCCCCACGGGGAAGGUGACAUCUGAGCAAAGGAGGAGAGCAGGGAGCAAACCAUGUAGAAAUAUGGAAGAUCUCCUUUCCUGGAAAGGAACAGCAAGUGCUAAGACCCUGAGGUGAGUGUGGUUUUCUAGGGCUGGCAAAGCAGCUGGUGUGGCUGGAGCAGAGUGAGCAAGGAAUACAGAGAGAUGAGGAAGAAGGGUCACCAGACGGACCAUGUUAAGCCCUGAGGUCAUGGGAGAUGAAUGAAGAUGAACAGUGUCUGGGGAAGAGAGGAAGGUGCAAGAUGUGUUUGGAGGUCUGGCAAGGAGACUGAGAGUGAAACAGGUUUUUGCGCUAACGAGAAAGGAAAGAACAAGAAAGCAACUGAGGGUAAAGUAACUCCCACACAUUUCCGGAUCCAAACGCUCCUCACUCCCCGCUCACCUGAAAGUAAUCUCUGGG